rnacentral:rRNA from 1 species
AGGUGCCAGCAGCCGCGGUAAUACGUAGGGACCAAGCGUUGUUCGGAUUUACUGGGCGUAAAGGGCGCGUAGGCGGCGUGGUAAGUCAGCUGUGAAAUCUCCGAGCUUAACUCGGAACGGUCAGCUGAUACUGCUGUGCUAGAGUACAGAAAGGGCAAUCGGAAUUCUUGGUGUAGCGGUGAAAUGCGUAGAUAUCAAGAGGAACACCUGAGGCGAAGGCGGGUUGCUAGGCUGAUACUGACGCUGAGGCGCGAAAGCUAGGGUAGCAAACGGGAUUAGAUACCCCGGUAGUCCUAGCCCUAAACGAUGUAUGCUUGGUGUCUGGAGUUUUAAAUCUCCGGGUGCCGUCGCUAACGCUUUUAGCAUACCGCCUGGGGAGUACGCACGCAAGUGUGAAACUUAAAGGAAUUGGCGGGGGAC